UACGUAGGGGGCAAGCGUUGUCCGGAAUCAUUGGGCGUAAAGAGCGCGUAGGCGGCCCUGUAAGUCCGCUGUGAAAGUCAAGGGCUCAACCCUUGAAUGCCGGUGGAUACUGCAGGGCUAGAGUCCGGAAGAGGCGAGUGGAAUUCCUGGUGUAGCGGUGAAAUGCGCAGAUAUCAGGAGGAACACCAAUGGCGAAGGCAGCACUCUGGGACGUGACUGACG
rnacentral:rRNA from 1 species